CGCGGCCUAUCAGCUUGUUGGUGGGGUAAUGGCCUACCAAGGCGACGACGGGUAGCCGGCCUGAGAGGGUGAUCGGCCACACUGGGACUGAGACACGGCCCAGACUCCUACGGGAGGCAGCAGUGGGGAAUAUUGCACAAUGGGCGGAAGCCUGAUGCAGCGACGCCGCGUGGGGGAUGACGGUCUUCGGAUUGUAAACUCCUUUCAGUAGGGACGAAGCGAGAGUGACGGUACCUGCAGAAGAAGCACCGGCCAACUACGUGCCAGCAGCCGCGGUAAUACGUAGGGUGCGAGCGUUGUCCGGAAUUACUGGGCGUAAAGAGCUCGUAGGCGGUUUGUCACGUCGUCUGUGAAAUCCUCCAGCUCAACUGGGGGCGUGCAGGCGAUACGGGCUGACUUGAGUACUACAGGGGAGACUGGAAUUCCUGGUGUAGCGGUGAAAUGCGCAGAUAUCAGGAGGAACACCGGUGGCGAAGGCGGGUCUCUGGGUAGUAACUGACGCUGAGGAGCGAAAGCAUGGGGAGCAAACAGGAUUAGAUACCCUGGUAGUCCAUGCCGUAAACGGUGGGCGCUAGGUGUGGGGUCCCUCCACGGAUUCCGUGCCGUAGCUAACGCAUUAAGCGCCCCGCCUGGGGAGUACGG
rnacentral:rRNA from 1 species